GAACGCACCGGUGAGGACGGAUUGCUCUGAGUUGGUUUUCGGCGGUGACUCAUCUGGAGACGUCUAUGACCUUGUCCUCCGCCACCCCCAGGGCUCUGGGAAAACCCCGUGUGCUGCUUCCAGACGGGAGGGCGAGAGGUUCUCGGUGCACAGAGUAAAAGAUCGCACUGGUCUGGAGUUUCCAAUCCCUACCUGGGGUGGCCUCGCCAUCCGUGGCGGGGGCGGGGGGAGCAGCGCAUCUUCCGGAAGGUUCUGCCUCCCAGCUGGAACAUGGUGGUGCCUUUGGAGGAGAGAAAGAACUGCCCUUUCUGGCUCCAAGAAUUCUUGGCUUGGAAAGGAGAUCUUGGGGAAGCUGUCCUUCCCCAGAGAUGCCUCGGUGACACUGUUUAAUUCCCCAGUUAGGUCCCAGAGGUAACUAUUAAUAAAACCGUUUGUGAGGGGGAAGCGAUCACUACAGAGGAAGAAAGCAGGCCUCUGAGGGAAGCCAGCGCUCUGAUGCAGGUGUGACCCCUGGCCUCCGUGUCGGCACUUCCUGCCCUGGUGACUCCCCCACAGUCGACACAAGUAACAAAUAAGCAGCUGUCAGUCUGGGAGGUUAAACCGCGUGGAACAGGACAUUCCGGUCCGGGAGCACCGGCGCUGUCAGCCAAGGCGGACUUUAAUCUGGGGAUCGUUGUGUCCGGAGAUGCAAAGGCCACGAGGCUCUUCCCUAAUCUGAGGAUGUGUUGGGGUGGACGGCGGGGAACACAGGCCACCUACCUAUCCUGAAAACCUCCCAGUGUCUUGGCUUUGCUGGUUCGUUCCUCCGAGGGACUACAGGUCUGGGACACAGGAGCUAGCAGACACUCACAGGAGAUCGAUGCAGUGUGUUGGUCGGCUUGACUCCAAAAGAAAUAGCUUCGGAAAGUGCCAAACGCAAAUUUGUUCUAUACCUAGAACACUUGGUUCAAAGCAAUACCAGAAGGAAGGUCCAGAUUUUACCUUAUAUUUUUACCAAAGGGUUUGGUUAUCUGAGAUCUUUUAGGUUUCUCUGUCCACCCAACUCUGGCUCUAUACUUAUAUGCAUGUGUUUCUGUGCGGAAGGUGAGCUGAAUCUUUGGUCGGGAUCGUAAAUUAGGUUUAAUGUAUAUUUUUAUGUGUAUUUUCCAUUUGUUACUUAUUCUAUUUUAAGGAGAAUAUUCAAGGGCUUGCUGAAGUCAAAGAUACAGCAUAGAAGUCCCUCUGGUAAGACAGGAUACCUGUGAUUUGGACAGACUUCCCUUAAAAAGAUUUACGAACUCUGUUUCAGAAAUGUGGUGAUUUUCACAGAGAGGAAACUAAACUCUCGGCCCGCACCACUAUAAUAAAAUGGACUCUUGAGGAACCACAAGCUCUCUUUUGAAAAUCUUCUGAUAAACCUAUCAAAACCGUGCCAGAUUUGGCAAAAUCCCAAACACAAACUUGUCUUCCUUUUCAGACCCCCUUUC